CCCAAGCCCUUGGAGGAGCCCAGAAGAUUGGUCCCUGCCGGCUGCCCUGCUGUUUCUCCAGCAGAGGCAAACUGUCGGGAGAUAAUGUACAGCUCCCCUGCCCAGCUGUGCCCUGGCAACCCCACGGAAGGAAGCCUGCCGCAGAAGAAGUGACUUUCAGGAUGAUGAAGUGAAACAGGUGACAUUCACAUCUCUUCAAGGAGGUCUAAGGAAAAACAGCAAAGCCAAGCAUAUUAAAAUACGAAGAUUAAAAAAAGAGUACAAACCUUCAAAGGGAAAAGCCAGGACAUUUAGCUGCAUCAACAGAACACCAGAAUUCUGCUGCCAGACCCAGGCACUGCGGGACCCACGGGUUACCGUGCAGACAUGGCCAAGUCCAAGAACCACACGACACACAACCAGUCCCGCAAAUGGCACAGAAAUGGCAUCAAGAAACUAAAGUCACAAAGAUAGGAAUCUCUUAAGGGGGUUGACCCCAAGUUCCUGAGGAACAUUAUGCUUUGCCAAGAAGCACAACAAGAAAGGCCUGAAGAAGAUGCAGGCCAACAAUGCAAAGGCAGUGAGUGCACGCGCAGAGGCCAUCAAGGCACUGGUGAAGCCUCAGGCCAUCAAGCCCAAGAUGUCAAAGGGUCCCAGCCACAAACUCAGCCGCCUGGCUUUCAUCGCUCACCCCAAGCUUGGGAAGCAGAUUCGAAGCUACAUGGCCGAGGGUCAGAGGCUCUGUUAACAGAAGCCUAAGGUCCAAACCAAGGCAGGGGCCAAAGCUCCAGCUAAGGCCCAGGCUUCAGCUCCAGCCCAGGCUCCCAAAGGUGCCCAGGCCCCUGUGAAGGCCCCGUAGAAAAGGCUCCUGCCAGCCUGAAGAUGGACUGCUGUGACACACCUACCUACACAUUAUUUGCAGAUGACCAGUGUCCUAUGCUGUUUUUACAAAAAAACUUGAGGCAAGAUCUGUUAAAAAAAAAUUCUGCUAUAUUCUGUUGCUAGAUGAUUCAUUUCAUUAUACUUUUUCCAACAAGAUCUCAUGUUUUCAAAACCAUUUGUCUGCUAAGCAAACUGCAUUCACUAUGGAAUAAUUAAAUUUCUAUUUUUAGUCAUAUAUAACACCUAAUUAGAUAUCCAUAACCCCUAAGUAGAGAAUUGAAAUCAACAUAUGUUGAAAACUGUAAGUCAAAAGUAGGGCCAGGUAAUAAGCAUCGUUAGAAUUUUCACUGGGCUUCUUCUAUAUUUAAAACAUCUUACAAACCCACACCCCAUAUUUUUUUUCAAAGCUUUAACAUAUGUAUCUUGUAAAGAAAAUAAAACACACAAUUUAUCUUUUUCAUAUAAAAGUCUUACCAGCUUUUUGUAGUUCAGUAACUGAAAGUGAAUUAGCUUUUGUGGAGGAACAAGUUAGGAAAUUAUUUUACCAUAGUGAUAUUUUGAAAAUCUGGUAAGUAGGGUUUUUGUCAUUGUUGAUGAUGAAACACUCAUGUAGCCCAAGCUGACCUUAAACUUGCUGGGUGGCUGGGGAUGACCUCGGAAUUUCUGAUCCUCCUGUCUCUACCUCCAAACAACUGGGUUACAGGCAUGCACGCAGUUUGUGCAAUGCUGGGGAUAAAGCCAAGGAUGUUGUGCAUGCUAGCAAGCACUCCACCAACUGAGCCAUGGCCCCAAAAUACACUCAUUUUAUUGUUUUCUGCUCUUUUUUUGUUUGUUUUUGUUUUUGUUUUUUGAGACAGGGUUUCUCAGUGUAGCCCUGCUUGUCCUGGAACUCACUCUGUAGACCAGCCUGGCCUCGAACUCAGAAAUCUGCCUGCCUCUGCCUCCCAAGUGCUGGGAUUAAAGGCAUGUGCCACCACUGCCCGGCUUAGUUACUUAUUUUUAAGUAUAAUUCAGUGUCACCAGUGUCCUGCUCUUUUUUUAGGACUUGUAAUUAAACUCAGGAACUGCAGCAUGUUAGGCAUCAAGCUAUAUCCUCUCUGCAAAUAAAACUUUCUUUUUUUAAAAUUGACACUAUUGUGUAACCUUUGAUCCUGCAUUUAUGAGAUGCUAUAUAUAACAUGACCUACUAGUCAAACCCAAUUUAUCCACAAAAGUCUCUGUACUUAUUCUGUACUUCUUAAAUAAUUGUAAUCAUUUUCAACAGCAUAUGUUCCUCCAAAGUAAUUUCUGCCGAGAGAAAUAGGAAUAUGUAAAUAUUUUAUGUACAUAAAAUGAACACUCACUCAUGUACUUAGAAAUGUCUGAAAUAAACUAAUGAUACUUCUCAGGCUGUUGCUUUGAGAAUACUUCCUGAAUUCAAAUCAUUCUGAACAAAAUCGGUGAUUCUGUAGAGGUAUUCAAAAAGCAAGGAGCAAACCCUGUUACAUAAGGCCUGAGGAGGAGGUGUACGAUACAGGUGUGGGGUACCUUAACGCUGAAAGUCAAGAAAUUUCAAUUCAUAAUUUUGCUAACAGGUGCAGAAUCUUGUAUUUUUAUAGCUUUUGUGUGGGAAGCAAUUUGUAGUGGAGUUGGUGGCAAUUUUAUCUUACUGACAAGUACCUGAUAGAUCAAGCUUUUUGGGUACAUAAAAUAAUCUCAAAAUGGCAGAUCUAAAUUUCACCUUUUUACCUCCUGUCAAGAUGUUCAAAAUCACCCCCAUCUUAAACCCUGAGAAGACCUUAUAGACAAAAUUUUUUUCCACAUUUUUGCCACAGAUAAGGUGGAACAAUUACCCUGACUUUAUUACUAUUACAUUGUUUCUGCAAAUCUGUAAGGAAAGCUGCAGAGUACUUUUUCCUCUAUUAAAUGCAAAUAAAAUAUUUUACAGUAUUAUAUUUUACUGUAUUAAUACAUAUAUGUAUACAUAUAUAGCUAUCUUUGAGAUAUAUCUUACCACCAUAUAUAUGUCCUACCACAUAAUAUAUAUCUUACCAUUGGUAAGCCCCACACUGUUCCAUGCAAGGUGACAGGCCACUGUGGCUCUGUGCUGGUGCGUCUCAUCCCUGCCCCAGAGGCACUGGCAUUGUCUCUGCUCCUGUGCCCAAGAAGCUCCUGAUGAUGGCCGGUAUAGAUGACUGCUACACUUCAGCCAGAGGCUGCACUGCCACCCUGGC